rnacentral:rRNA from 1 species
AUGGCGUCAUCCACGAGCUUCUCGGCUAGCUCCUCCACGGGACGCAGGUCCUAUUCUAGUGGUACGGCGGCAGCGACACUGUCGCCGGUGCCAUAUCAUGAGGGUCCGUUGCAGUACAAGUUAGUGUUGUGCGGAUGCGGAGUGAAAGCCCGUCGGCAGAAGCCUGUUGAAUCCAGGGCGAAGGUACCAGGAAAUCAAAGGGUCUGGACUGUUGGUGAAUCGUGGCAUGAUGUUGCUGAAUCGUCUGAAAAAAGAGAAGAUGUAAUUGAAGAAUCUCGCUCUAGGCUGAAGCUUGCAUGGCGAAGGUAG